UUAAACCAAAUGUCAUCAAAAUUGAUUGAUGCAAUAAUACCAUACGCUCAUAUUACUGUAUCGGAAGCUCUUGAUAAGUCUUAGAAAUUGCUUAAGUUUAGACUGUUAAGUUAGCUUUUCUUCUUGAUCUAAGUUGGAAUUUUAAGAUGCAGUUCGUUUUACUCAUGUUAAAUUAAAAUUUUUAUUCUAAGGACACAAAUAUGCCUGAAAUAAAUUAUUUUCUUAUUACAGGCAACUGGGUUUUAAAUUCUAAUUUUUAGGGAAGGAAUGUCCAAGAGUCAUGCUCUAAGAGUACGAAGUUUCCGAAAAAUAAAUAAUUUAUUUAUUCCAGGCAAUUGAAGUUUAAAUUCUACUUUAUAGGGAAGAAAUGUCCAAGAAUCACAUUUUAGGAGUACGAAUCUGCCUGAAAUAAAUUAUUUCCUUAUUCCAGGCAAUUGGGGUUUAAACUCUACUUUAUAGGUAAUUGGAGCUUAAAUUAUAUUUUAUAGGGAAGAAAUGUCCAAGAAUCAUGUUCUAAGAAUACAAAUCUGCCUGGAAUAAAUGAUUUUCUUAUUCCAGAUAUUUGCAGUUUGAAUUUUACUUUAUAGGCAAUUGUAGUUUAAAUUCUACUUUAUAGGGAAGGAAUUUUCAAGAGUCAUGUUC